rnacentral:lncRNA from 1 species
GUGCAGUCCAUGAAAAUGGUUCGCGGUGCAUGACGUGGCUCACAGGCAGGUGGAAAGAAUUUUGAGCGAUCUGAUGAUGGAGAUCGCUCCAGAUACGUGAUCGGAUGGUUGAGGUUUCGUUGUUUCAUAUCAAGCGAUGGUGGCCUACUCCCAAUGCAUGAUCUGAUGGCUCCAAUUCAUCCAAAAUGAGAUCUGAUAGUUGCUAUCGAUUGCCGAUUGAGAACUAAUCAGAAGAAGAGAUUUCAAGCGUGAUCCAAUGAUCGAAAACCCAUCCGAUGGCUGAUCCAAUGGCUGUUGUUCAUUCCGACUGUGUUAAGGAGAUAAUAGGCACUGAUCGAUGGUCGAAAAUUCAUAAGAUGCACGACCAGACGGCUGUGGUGGUUCUCGAACAUAAUAAGGACUUAAAUGCUAGUUUUUUUGGGCUGAUCUGGGCGGUCCAAUCAAAAUCCGAUGGCCAAAAAAAUUCCUACGAGUAUUAUACAAGUUCUAAGGGUUUUAGGACUCUUUUUGUGAGCAGAAAAAGAUGAAAAAUUUACCUAUAAAUAGGAGAUCUGGGAAUAAGAGUGGAAAAAAGAAAAAACUAGAGAAAAAGCAAGAAAAAAUUAGAGAAAAAAAAUUAGAAAAACUUCAAGGAUCAAAGAGUGGAAGAAUAUGGAGCUAGAGAUCUUGAUGCAUG